rnacentral:lncRNA from 10 species
GCUCCUCAUUCCUUUAUGUAGAUAUGUGUUUUCAUAUGGUAACAGUUUUCUUCUGUCUGAAGGACUUUCAUUAACAUUUCUUAUAGUUCAGGUCUAUAGUUCAGGUCUGCGCCUGCCACCGCGCCUGGCUAAACUCUUUCAGCUUUUAUAUAUCUGUAAAGGUUUUUAUUUCCCAUUUAUUUUUAUAGAUAGUUUUGUUGCUAAAGAAUUAUAGCUUUAUAGCAUUUUUUUCUUUUAGUACCUUAAAGAUGUGCUCCGUUUUCUUUUUGCUUUCAUUAUUUGUGAUAAGGAAUCUACUGGUAUUCUUAUUUUUAUUCAUGUGUUUUUUCCUCUGGUUUUUAAUAAGAUUUUUUUUUGCAGUGGUUUUGGCUGAUUACAGGGUAUUUUUAUCUAGUUUUCUUCAUGUUUCUUGUGUUUUGAGUUUGUUAAGCUUAUUGAAUUUGUAUAGUUUUUUUUUUUAAAGUAAAAGUGCUAAAAUUCCUAGAAAUUAUUUUUUCGAAUUGUUUUCAUAUCCUCCCUCUCUCUUCUUUCCUUUUAGGACUCUCAUUACUUGUAUAUUAAAAUAAUUGAAGUUGUCCCGCAUUCUACUAAUGCAUUUUUUUCAUAGUUAGAAACCCUUUCCUUUCCCAUGUUUCAUUUUGGAUAUUUUCUAUUGGUACAUCUUUGUUUACUGAUCUUUUCUUCUGUAGCGUCCAAAUCUGCUCUUAAUCUUUAGCAGUGUAUUUUAAAUCUCAGAUAAUGUAAUUAUGUCUAGAAAUUUCAUUUGGGUCUCUUUUAUAUUUUUCAUGUCUUUAACUCUUUGAACAUCUGGAAUAUAAAUAACUAUUUGAAUAUUUUGGAAAUGCGAACAUCUAUGUCAAUUCUGGGUUAGUUUCAGAUGGCUAAUUUUUUCCUUUUGUCAUAUUUUCCUGCUUCUUUGCAUGCCUGUACAUUGGAUGUCAAAUGUUGUGAAUGUUUCUUUUUGCAUGCUAGGUGAAUUUAUAUUCCUCUGUAUCCUUGGGCUUUGUUUAGAGAUAAGAUUCAAUUAUUUGGAAACAAUUUUGUCUUUUCAGCUCUUGCUUUUAUGAUUAGGCAGUCUUAGGGCAACAUUUAGUCUACGGUUAAUUACUCCUCAUAGGUGAGUCAAGACCCAAUUCAGUGCCUCACGAAUUAUGAGGUUUUUCAGUGUGAUGAGUGGUAACAGGCACAAUUCUCAGUCCUUUGUGAGCACUGGACACUGUCCCUUAGAUCAUUUUGGAUGGCUCUUUCUCCAGUCUCAAGUAGUUUCUUCACAUACGUAAACUGCUCAGUACUUUAUUGAAUACUUAAGAGGAAGUAGCUGCAGAUUUGUGGGAUUACUUUUCUGUAUGGUUCUCCCCUCUGUGAUACUCAUCUCUUGUAAGCUCUAGCUGCCUCUAUUUCCCAAACUUUCAGCUCUGUCUCAACUCAGGAACUUCUUAGGAAUUCCUAAAUUAGCACUCCCUGAAUCACUAUCUGGAAACUCUCUGAAGUCUAUAAAAUGAAGAGAUUAAAGGGCUUAUAUCAUUUGCUUCCAUCUCUCAGGAAUCACUGCCUUUUUUGCCCCCGCCAAGGUCCUGUGUCUUAACAAUCAUUGUUUUAUAUAUACAUGUUUUAGGUUUUUUUAAAAAAAAUCUGGUGGGAGGGCGAAUCUGGCCUGUUAGUCCAUUUUGGAAGCAGAAGUCUUAAUUUUUUUUUAAAUUCCUACCUUAUCAGGGACCCCAUUUAGUCUCUGCCUGCUCUAAUAGUCAACUCUUUCUUUACCUCCUGAUUUUGAAAGUCUAACUUAACUUUAGUUAAAAAUAGCAUUCACACCAACUACUUAUAGGAUCCAGAAAAAAUAAACAAAUGAACUACAUUUCUUCAUUUUUAUUCUGUACAUUUCCACACAAUUCACAAUACAGAAAAAGUGUCCAAAAAGUAACUGUAACUAGUCAAUUUCUUUUUCAGAGAUUAGUUCAGUCUCCCAAAUUAACUCCAUUGAAAAUCUCUGUAGUGCAACACAGUGAUCAAGAUACUUUAUAUAAAUAGGAAAUGCAAGAAAAUUAGGGAAAAAUACUUUAUGACUUUGUUACAAAAAACUUCAUUCUUCCCUUUCCCAUCCCACCCCCCCCCCCCCACCCACCCUCCCUCCACUUCGUAUUAUCUGAAUCCUCCUUUACCUGGAAAUAAAACUUUAAUCUUUCUACUGCCACAGCUGCUACUUGUUUAUGGAUUCCACCUGCCAGCUGGCAGCUUUGCAAAAGCAUGGCUCUGGGAUGUGAUAGGGCAGAAUCAGAAAUCAUGAAAAAGCCCUUUAUAAUGUGACUGCAACUCUUCAUACAGAUGUAGCCUUUGCGAGUGGAAUACCCACAGCCAAGGGUACCCUGGAUGCCUGGGAACGUUUUCCCACUCAGAAAUCAAAUUAAAUCAAAUAUAUUCAUUCUUUUAGAACUGAGAUUGUCCUCUAUUCCUUAGUUUUUCACAAGAAUGGUUUUCCUCAGUUUCAGUCAGUGGUGGUCUGUAUAAUAUUCAGAUUCAUGGUUGCCCACUUAACUAUUGGUAAUUUUAAAAAACAGCCAAGCUAACCUUUGCUGAGACUAUUUUGGCCCCUGACUUUUCAAAGAUGUGUUUUGCAAAAUAUUCUGUUGUGUUAGAAUAUUUUGUCUAUGAGAGUUCUAAAUCUCCUUCCCCAGGAUGGCAAGAAUCCAAACUUUCCCAACUUAUAAUCGGUAAGUCAGGGAGAGCAUCAAAGUUCUACUUGCAUUGGAAAUUAUGCUUGUAUGUAAUUAGAGUCUCAAUCCAACCAAUGAUGGGUGGGGAGAGUGGCGAAUAAAAAUUCUUUGAUCUCCAGAAGAUCAGGAGAUCAGGAGCCAUUUGGUUGCAUAUAGAAGGUACAACAAAUACUUGUGCAUGAACGGAUGGGGUAUUUCUGACAUCACAUACAAGCAACAGUGUUCAUCAGUGUUAACCGUAUUUAUUUUUGGGAAGUGGGACACAACACCAGAACAAAGGGAUGCCUUGACUGUGGAUGUGAUACUCAUCUGUGGUAUUAAAACAUUUUAUAAAAAGCAUGUGCCAUUUUUAUAAUUUAAAAAAACCCCUAAAUAUUAUUAAUAAAAUUGACAUGUAAUAAAAUAAAGAUGCUGUGUCAUUUUUUAAAGCCAUGAAUAUUAUAAGGGGUCUAGUAAAUAAAUAAAUUUCAGAAAUUCGUUAGGCAAAGGGACUCUCACUAGGUCCAGAUGAAAAUGAAGUGAUGUUGAGUAGCUCCCAGCACAGGCAGAUCUGCCAAAGCAGCCAUUCUGAAAGGAUAAGGAGCAACAGGUAUGUACGGCUCUCCAUCAGUCAUUACUAAUUUCCAUCACUGUGCAUUUGCCAGCUAAAUUAUGUUUCAAAACUUGCACUGGUUUUUGGUUAUCACAUCUACAGAGGAAACAUAAGCUCUGAAAGCAAAAUUCCUAGUCAUGGUAUUUAUUCCAUUCUUGGCUUACUAAUCUUCUCUCUUAUUCUUUAUGAAGUCCUUGAAUACGAUAAAGCACAGUUUAACUGUGUUCUAUUUUGUUAAAUGCACAAUAUUAAAAUAUAAGCUUGCAAAAAUGACUACCUUUCAGGUUACAGAAUGUUGUCUUUUAAUAACUCUUCAUUUUCCAUUCCUCUAUCAACCACAUCUAAAAAUGGAAUCUCAAAGCAGUCAGUGCCAUGACACAAAGAAACAAACACAGAGGAGUCAGCCAAGCUAGCUGCCUCUUCAGUGCUGUCUCAGUAGGCUUUGUAGAAAUGAUAUUUCUAUAGGUACAUAUUUUUAUGUCUGUUAAAGUUACAUGGCACUUCAGACCAGGACUAGAUCACUUGCUUUCCUGAUGUCCUAAUAGUAGGGAUACAAUAUACUUAAGCUGAGAUGGAAACUCCUAGACCAUAAGGCCUUAGCUCUUUCCAAAGCCCAGGACCAAUUUUUAAAACAUGCUACAGGAGGUGGUUUAAUGUUGAAGCCAUUAAACAUGUGGUUAUUCUGCUCACUUUAUUUUGGAAAUCCCAAGUCCUAGUGGUACUUGCUUUUUUCAAAGCGAUAUAUCAAAUAUUGGUCUCCAUGAAUAACACAGGACUCUAAUGCCUUUUUUUUUUUUGGUUUGAAAAAAUUUCCAAAUGCAUCAGGAAUCUUACAGUACCAACUCAUCAUUUUUCAUAACACAGAUUUAUGUCUUCAAUUGGAGCUAUUUAGAAA